GGACGAACGCUGGCGGUGUGCCUCAUACAUGCAAGUCGAACGAUAAGGUCUCUUCGGAGAUACAUAAGUGGCGGACGGGUGAGUACAACAUAGGAAAUCUGCCCUAAAGCGGGGGACAACAGAGGGAAACUCCUGCUAAUACCCCAUAUGAGCUUAGUUGAAAUACUAAUCUUGGAAGAUUUAUCACUUUAGGAUGAGCCUGUGCCUGAUUAGCUGGUUGGUGGUGUAAUGGACUACCAAGGCGACGAUCAGUAGCUGGUUUGAGAGGAUGAUCAGCCACAAUGGGACUGAGACACGGCCCAUACUCCUACGGGAGGCAGCAGUAGGGAAUUUUGCGCAAUGGGCGAAAGCCUGAACCGCAGCAACACCGCGUGAAUGUUAAGCCCUUCGGGGUGUAAAGUUCUGUCAGUAGGGAAGAACAAAUGACUGUACCUGCAAAGGAAGCACCGGCUAACUCCGUGCCAGCAGCGGC
rnacentral:rRNA from 1 species